GCUCAAGCUGCUGAUCCAGACGGGGACUUUUCAGCCACCUCACCGACACCACGCUCCCUUUGCUCCCUUUUGGAAUGGUAAUGUAUAUCCUGCCCCAUUAUCUGUUGGAAGAAUGUGAUCUGCUGUUUCAUUUUGCUUUUGCAGGGGAUUACAGUUAUGGGGUUGCGUGAGUCUCAGAAGAGGCUUUAGACUUUGGACUUGUAAGCAGCAUUGUUACAGUGAUAGACUAUUGGGACUUCUGGAGUUGGACUGUGAUGUGGUUACAAACCUAUGGGGCCCAGGGAGUGGAAUGAGAUGGUUGGAAUGAAAAUGGCCCUCGGAGGCUCAGAGGGAGGGGCGCUGUUAGGAGGUGUGGCCUUGUCACAGGAGGUGUGGCCUUGCUGGAGGAAGUGUGUCAUUGGGGGUGGGCUUUGAGGUCUCAGAUGCUCAAGCCAGGCCCGGUGUCUCCCUCUGUCUUCCUGCUGCCUGAGGAUCCAGAUGUGGCACUCUCAGCUACCUCUCCCACACAGUGUCUCUCUGCACGCUGUCACGCUCUCCACCCUGAUGCAAUAGAACCCUGACUAAGUCAACCAAGCUGGCCUGGAAAAGAUAGAGACCUGCUACCUCUGCUGGAGCCAGCGCACUGGAACUAAAAGUGUGAAUCGCCACAUCUCGCCCGCCCCCCCCCCCCGCUCCCCGCCAGACAACGCCCCCGUACUGAAAGUGUGCAUCGCCACACCCCGCCAGACAACGCACCGGUAGAAAAGUUCUUCGGCUGUGUUUAUCUGAUGUUCUAAGUGCGUCUUCUGCUUGUAUGCAUGGGUCCUCCCCUCCACUUGGGAAAUGUCUAUUGUCGUCUUACUGAACAGUGUCUGCCUUUGGUUUUGGUGCUUCUACCCCACACUCACUCUAGGAUCUGACCUCUUCAUAAGUACCGGCCGUCUUUAGAAUUGUGGGCACACUUGUGGUUUUUUUUUUACUUUAUUGUUACCUUACCUUGUUAUUCUGGUCUUUCAGACAUUCCUCAUUUUAUCCUUUUUUUAAGAUGUAUUUUUAAACUGGGUGGGCAGUGGUGGCACACACCCUUAGUCCCAGCAUGUGGGAGGCAGAGACAGGCGGAUCUCUGAGUUUGAAGCCAGCCUGUUCUACAAAGUGAGCUCCAGGACAGCCAGGACUACACAGAGAAACCCUGUCUCAAAAAAAAAAAAAAAAGAUUUAUUUUUAUUUGAUGUGUAUUAAGUGUUUUACUCCCCCCCCACACACACAAAAUUUUCAUGCAGUACCUACAGAGGCCAGAAGAGGGUGUCAGAUUCCCCCAUAAUAGAAGUUACAGGCAAUUGUGAGCACCAUUGGGUUCGGAGAACUGAACCGGGGUCCUCUGGAAGAGCAGUUGGUGCUCUUAACCACUGAGCCAUCUCUUCAGCCCCCUUAUAUGGGUGUUAGUGGGUAUUUUUCUCCUUGGCUUACAAUCCUCAGUACUACCUGGAGAGCAGAUGACAGCGGUAACAAAAGCAAUGACCUGGCAUCAAUCCAGGUAUCAAAGUGCAGUAGGCCUGAGAACUGGCUCAGGAGGUAAAGGUGCUCCCCAUGCAAGCCUGACUACUUGAACUAGAUCCUGGAGCCCAUGAAGAAAACCGGAUGCAGGGACAUCUGCAAUCGUGGAGGAGACAGCAGGUAGUGACAAGAAAAUCUGCCCACAGCUUGUGGGCCAGCCAGCCUGGGGUGAAAGCAGAAAGGAGAAGAGACCUGACACAACUAGGUGGAAGGCGUGGUCUCCGGCCUUCACCCAAACAUGUGAUAACUAGCUCCCUCUUCCUGGUAUACUUUCCUGGUUGAUCCUUCCUGAUGCACACAGAUGUUAGAGAGCAGGGGGUGGGGAAAGGGAGGGCAAACACUGGACAGUCAGACAGGCACCUCGAGGAAAGGGAGCAGGGGAGCAAUGGCGGUAUGUCAGUGACUGUGGGCACUUUGCUAGGCGUUGUCCUGACAGUACUGUCCUUUCACAAUAAUGUCCUCCGCCCUAGGGCACAGGGUGAGAGGUACCUAUGAGCAGAGAAAGGUCGAGGGGACAGAGGGAGAUUCUCUCUCUGCCCAGAAGUGACACUCCCUGGAUGCCAGCCAGUGUUACUGUCCAGUUGUCUGGGGUUGGGGGUGGGGGGGUUGUCAGAUUGAAAGGUUCCCACAAUAGGAACAUCUUUAUCUGGGAACAGAUAGGAGACAAUUUCUUUGGCUGCACCCAUAACCUGUCUGGGUUAGGCCAGCUGCUGAGUUGUCACAGUGGUGGUCAGGGAGUGUUGUUAAAAGUCGACAUUUUCACAGUCAUACCACAGUUCUGGGCUGUGGCCUCUGUUCCUGGCCGCUUGGGAGGACAAACAAAUCUCACAUAUAUUAGGAAAAGAUUGGAGAGACUCUUUUUCUCUCAAAGGCUGUUCAAGCCAAGAGCAGGUCAGGGCGCGCUGAAUAAUGGAGUUUCAAAUGGAGAAAGAUAGAAUUCACUCAAUCUGAGAAAUGUGAGACUGCAGCUCACAGAGGCUGUGGAGCCAGGUACCUGUCAGUCUCUCUGGAAGUUGAAUGGGAACUGAGGUCUUUGGGUGUGUCCCAUUUGGGACACUGAUGAACUGGUGCGUUGGGUGUGGUCUUCUUUGAGAGUUCUGUUUAGAGGAAGGAAUGCUGAAGACAGUUUGUCUUGGGUGUGGGGAGGGUGGAGCUCACUCCUAGGCCCCAGUGGCCUUACAGGUGAGCAGAGUAUCCCCCCCCCACUCCCUUGACUGCCAUGGGAACCAUCAAGGGCACCCUCACAUCGUUUUCCUGACUCGUGCUCCAUCUCUGACUCUGCUGGGUACCUCGCCAUCUCCCUGGGGUCCACGUCAAGCCUGGCUCCUACUAACACUGCAUAGACUUGGAUUUUCUCGAUCCUUUAAAAAAUACAUAUUUAAUUUUAUGUGUGUGCGCACACAUGUGUGCCCGGUGCCUUUGGAGGUCAGAACAGGCACUGGAUCCCCUGAAACCUAAGUUACAGCUGGCUGUGAGUCACCACAUGGGUGGGUGCUGGGGACCAAACUCAGGCCCUCUGGAAGCGUAGCCAGGGCUUUUAACUGCUGAGCCAGCUCUCCAACCCCUUUAUCUAUUUUUAUAAAAGUGUAGCACCUAACCUACCUUUUAAAUAUGAGGGCUGUUACAUGUUGAAGAAUUUUUGUCGUAUGAUGAGGAAAAGUCAGUUUAGAUUUGUUUUGUUUUGUUUUGGGGAUAUUUUGUUGUUGUUUAGUGUUCCUAAGUUAUAAGGGUGACCCUUUAGAAAUUGUUGACAAAAAAUGUCUUCAUUUCUUCUUUGAAAAUAAUUUACAAGUCACUCCUUCAGGAAAUGAUUUUUUUAAAUUUUAUUUAUUUAUUAUGUAUACAACAUUCUGCUUCCAUGUAUAUCUGCACACCAGAAGAGGGCACCAGAUCUCAUAAUGGAUGGUUGUGAGCCACCAUGUGGUUGCUGGGAAUUGAACUCAGGACCUCUGGAAGAGCAAUCGGUGCUCUUAACAUCUGAGCCAUCUGUCCAGCCCAAGUCACUCCUUCAGGAGAUGAUUUUUUAAAACGAGAAAAGAAAAGACAGGAGUUUAGAGGUUCCUUUGCCCAGUGUAACAACUGCCUUUCCUGCACCAAAGGAUAGAGGGUGUAACAGGUGCAGGAAUGCCAGACUUGAGAGGUUGGGGAGGGGUCUAGUUUGGGAAAGAGUAUCCUCCUGGGGGAAAGAAGAUUGAGUCUAACAAGGGAAGUUGACGGGGAAUGUACCGUGUAUGUUUAUCUUAUUGAUUGUUGAAUAAAGUUCUGUUUGGCCAAUGAAACAGCAAGUCAGACGGGACUAGGAGUCAAAGAGGAUUCUGGGAAAUGUAGUAGAGAAGUGGUGAUCCGGGCCGGAAGUGACAUAGCAAGGAGACUCAUAUUUAAGCAAGGAGAAACAGGAAGGGUCCCUGUUCCCCUUCGACUCCUCCAGCGGAACCAUGUGAGCCACCGGCAAGAGAGGGUGCCAAAAAAAGGCAUCCUCUAUAAGAUAAGUCUUAUAAAAUAUAUAGAUUUAUGAUAAUUAAGACUGAGCUAACAGACAAGAAUCCUAGUCAUUGGCCAAGCAGCAUUGUACCUAAUACAAGUUUCUGUGUAUUCAUUUGGGCCUAACUCAGGCGGGCGGCUGGCAUAAAGCGC
ensembl:lncRNA